AGGCGUGAGAAGCACAAGGACAUGAACACUUGCUUUUCCUUCUUACAGGGAACCUUCUGGCCCCCUGGGAAGGACCUUGGGCUGACCUGCUGGGCCCUGAAGUCCAUGUGCCUGAGCCCUGCUGAUGUGGGACCAGCCUCUGCCCUGAGAGAGAUUUGAAAGCAAGCUUCUUCCUCCUUCUGGAACAUUAUUGAUAGUAGACCUUUGUCUGAGGUACAGCUGCUAAGAAUUUCUUCUAGAUGAAAACAACACUGAGAUUCCACCUCAUCCCAGA